rnacentral:tRNA from 1 species
GCACAGAAGUGAGAAUCACAAGCAGUCUGUAAAUCUGCCUUUAGGUCAUUUAGACCUCUGUCGCA